rnacentral:miRNA from 1 species
UGUCAGCUGGCACAUACGUGCUCCUGGCUGGCUUGGGCUCAUGUGGAGAAAGCCGGCCACCCUGGCACUCAGGACCG